rnacentral:lncRNA from 1 species
CAGCAGCAUCGAUAGUGACAACAGCAGUAGUGGGUCUAUCUAAUGCUCGUGGUCGAUAUACUUCUCAGUCAUUCUAGUGUGCACCACCUUCUCAGCCACCACCUAUCUCUCAGCUAUCCACUUCCACUCAGCCCACACCUAGACCACUAUUUAGGACCUUCACUAGAUCUAGUGUAGGGUUUCCAUUCUUUGUGAUUGGCCCCUUUACCAGGACCA